CCUACGGGAGGCAGCAGUGAGGAAUAUUGGUCAAUGGGCGGGAGCCUGAACCAGCCAAGUCGCGUGAGGGAAGACGGUCCUAUGGAUUGUAAACCUCUUUAGGCGGGGAGCAAUGCCGGGCACGCGUGCCCGGAGGGAGAGUACCCGCAGAAUAAGCAUCGGCUAACUCCGUGCCAGCAGCCGCGGUAAUACGGAGGAUGCGAGCGUUAUCCGGAUUUAGUGGGUUUAAAGGGUGCGUAGGCGGGUUUUUAAGUCAGCGGUAAAAUAUCCGGGCUCAACCCGGGCCGGCCGUUGAGACUGGGGAUCUUGAGUGGGCGAGAGGUAUGCGGAAUGCGUGGUGUAGCGGUGAAAUGCAUAGAUAUCACGCAGAACUCCGAUUGCGAAGGCAGCAUACCGGCGCCCGACUGACGCUGAGGCACGAAAGCGUGGGGAUCGAACAGGAUUAGAUACCCGUGUAGUC
rnacentral:rRNA from 1 species